rnacentral:rRNA from 1 species
CCUACGGGUGGCUGCAGUGAGGAAUAUUGGUCAAUGGGCGCGAGUCUGAACCAGCCAAGUAGCGUGAAGGAUGACUGCCCUACGGGUUGUAAACUUCUUUUAUAUGGGAAUAAAGUGUUCCACGUGUGCCUUUUUGUAUGUACUUUAUGAAUAAGGAUCGGCUAACUCCGUGCCAGCAGCCGCGGUAAUACGGAGGAUCCGAGCGUUAUCCGGAUUUAUUGGGUUUAAAGGGAGCGUAGAUGGGUUGUUAAGUCAGUUGUGAAAGUUUGCGGCUCAACCGUAAAAUUGCAAUUGAUACUGGCAGUCUUGAGUACAGUAGAGGUAGGCGGAAUUCGUGGUGUAGCGGUGAAAUGCUUAGAUAUCACGAAGAACUCCGAUUGCGAAGGCAGCUCACUAAACUGCAACUGACAUUGAGGCUCGAAAGUGUGGGUAUCAAACAGGAUUAGAUACCCGUGUAGUC